rnacentral:lncRNA from 1 species
UUUCUACAGCCAUGUAUGACUGACUGUCAAGCUUCAGUGCCUGCUGGAGCCAGACACUGUGGCCUUCUCUUCUCAGACAGCAUCUGUUGGGCCCCUGGCAUGGAAGAAAGGCAUCUCGGGACACCUGGCUGGGCCACGGAGAGCAGAUGAGAAUACCUGCCCAGCCUGUCAAGGGAGAGUGGGCUUCCUAGAGGCAAGAAUGAGUACGGACAAAUGGAGCUCACGCAGAAGCUCUGAACCAAAGCAGGAAGCAAGAGGGCCCUGUGAAUUCAGUUACUAUCAUCCCAGCUGGAUCACUGUGAGCACAAAAGGAGAAGUGUGCACCUGCAGAUUCACAAUGCAGACUGUGGGCUGUGUCGUUCUUGCAGCUCUCUAGGAAGACAGAAGCACAGCCUGUAUUGAAAUGGACAUUCUGUAUACAAACCUGGGAAGGCAAACAUACCCAAACUGGAAAACCGUAACACUUAACUGCCUAAACUCCCUUUCCUCUAUAUAUUUGGUUUUUGACAAAGACAGGCAUGAGUAGGAUUCAAGGAAGAGAGAACAUUUCUAUGUGACAAGCACACAUUGUGUUGUGGGGUGCUGUGGUCUCGGUCUGUAAGCAGCACCCAAUCUGCUGACAGAACUGGAAUUCUGUAGGUCAGUGUGGCAGUUACCUCACAAUAAGAGCUGGAGGAAGAAAGAGAGCCACAGGAUAAUCCACGGAGUAAAAGAAAACAGGAGAAGGACGAGGAGGUUAUCAUGCCUAAGACUUACGGGAAACCCUGAAUUCUGCAGUCCUGAAAAAGAUGACAUGCUGGUACAUCCCAAGGGCCAACUUACUCAUAAUCUUAGGCAGUAAUCAGUCUUUAACAGCAUAUCCUUGGUGGGAACAGACAGAAAUUCUUGGCAUUUCCACAUGAUGUGAUAUGAUGAAAUACAGUAACACUCUGAAUUCUAAUCUUACUCCAAGUCCAUGUUUCUAGUGACAGCUCUGACCCAGGAGGAACAGGGUCUGCCUGACCCAUCCAAGGUAGGCCUUGGUUUUAGUACAAAGAUCUGGGCCACUUGGGGCUGCUGUGCUUAGAGGCUAAGGGGCUUCUGAUGCUUCUGGAUGAGGCCCAGCUCCUACGGCUUUGCUAGAAACCCCCUGAACAUCACAUUUAUUGACAAUGAGAGCUCCCAUUCCACUAGCAGUUUUGAGGUUUCAAACUCUGCUUUUCUUGGACAAGACAUGGCAAGAGGUUCAGCAUGUUAACAUAGUUCGUGCAAGCAUCUGCAUCAUGCUCACAUUCAUAUGUGCAUAGGGAAACUCCAGAUAGUCUGGAUGGUCAGACUUUGCCCCGUUACUAUGAUGCCCCUCAGGGAUAUUUGCUGUCACUAGCCAAGAACCAGGACAAUCCACCGAGCAUAAGAGAAUGAAUACCCUUCCCCUACUGUUAAAACCUUUAUGCGAUACCUGUCCCAUUUUGCUCCUGCAAAAUCAACAUGAGACAAAGUAUUGAAAUGCUGGUAGUAGUGAGCACUUAAAUGACAGAGCCCCACUGGCACCAAAACCAUACUUCAGGUAAAAGAAAACAUGACUUUGC